UACGUAGGAUGCUAGCGUUGUCCGGAUUUACUGGGCGUAAAGCGCGCGCAGGCGGCACUGUAAGUAAGGUGUGAAAUAUCCCUGCUCAACGGGGAGGGUGCACUUUAGACUGCAGAGCUAGAGGACGGUAGAGGGGGGUGGAAUUGCUGGUGUAGCGGUGAAAUGCGUAGAGAUCAGCAGGAACACGCGUGGCGAAGGCGGCCCCGUGGGCCGAACCUGACGCUGAGGCGCGAAGGCUAGGGGAGCGAACGGG
rnacentral:rRNA from 1 species